UGUAGAGUUAUUUAAAUCUUCUAGGUCAUCAUCAUUUUUUUCCAAAUUAUCAAAAGAAUCACGAGGUUGAACCUUUUGCACUAUGUGCCAACCUUUAUUGGAAUGAUCGAUAGCAUAAAAUACUUGUGAUGCUUGGCUAGCUAAUACAAAUGGCUAAUUUAUUUUCAAAUAUCUCCAACUGUUAACAGUUACAAAGCCAU
rnacentral:lncRNA from 1 species